AUGGCGGCCGCCGCGCUCAGGGUUCAGCUCGAGGCGCUCCUCGAGAACAUGUUCGCCACGGGUAUGGUGGACGAGCAGUUCCGGCAGCUGCAGUCGCUGCAGGAGGGGGGCAGCGCGUCGGGCUUCGUCGCCGAGGUCGCCACCCUCUUCAUCGACGACGCCGACCGGAUCAUCGCCGACAUCGGGAGCCUGCUGGACCAGCCCGUGGUGGAUUUCGACAAGGUGGACGCCCACGUGCACCAGCUCAAGGGGAGCAGCUCGAGUGUUGGUGCUCAGAAAGUGAAGCUCGCCUGCAUGCACUUCCGCCAGUUCUAUGAGGCAAAAAGCAAAGAAGGGUGCCUCAUGGCGUUGGCUCUUGUUAGGAGUGAGUUCUGUGAUGUGCGCAACAAGUUCCAGACCAUGAUGCAGCUGGAGCAGCAGAUCGAGGCCUGCAGUCCCAAGUAG
rnacentral:rRNA from 1 species